UGUACACGCUAGGGGUGCUGAUGUUCGCAAGAGCGUCGGCUGAGAUAACACCCUGGAACUUGAUCAAGGUAAUACUUGCGCAGGGAAGCGUCGCUAAACGUGC
rnacentral:ncRNA from 2 species